rnacentral:rRNA from 1 species
AAACCAGCACCUCAAGUGGUCAGGAUGAUUAUUGGGCCUAAAGCAUCCGUAGCCGGCUCUGUAAGUUUCCGGUUAAAUCUGUACGCUCAACGUACAGGCUGUCGGGAAUACUGCAGAGCUAGGGAGUGGGAGAGGUAGACGGUACUCGGGAGGAAGUGGUAAAAUGCUUUGAUCUCUCGAUGACCACCUGUGGCGAAGGCGGUCUACCAGAACACGUCCGACGGUGAGGGAUGAAAGCUGGGGAGCAAACCGGAUUAGAAACCCCUGUAGUCC